rnacentral:lncRNA from 1 species
GUUAGCCAGGAUGGUCUCGAUCUCCUGAACUCGUGAUCUGCCCACCUCAGCCUCCCAAAGUGCUGGGAUUACAGGCAUGAGCCACUGCACCCGGCCGAGAUUUCUCAAUCUUUUAAGAACUUCAUGUGGCUGAAAAGAUCAAGAAGAGACAUAAAGUCCUACUCACUCUGAACCAGCAGCACUGAGGAAACUGAUUAAGAAAUUCUAGUGUAUCGAUAGUGGAGAUCCGGAUCCAUUAGUUUGGUAGAGACUGAAAACAGCACUACUUUUAGAACUUGACCUGGAGCUCCAUGUCCCAGUGGGAGGACACUGGGAUUCCUGAUGUUGGGUGUUCUAUUCACUCAAAGCAUCAAGAGACUUGAGCUGCCUAAGUAGGGGAGUCUGUUGAUGACUUUCAGCCCUGUAUUCCUGCAGACAAUUAGGAAGAGGCUGCCAAACGGAUAUUAAUAGCUUGAUAUAAUCAUAGUAAUAUCAAUAGUGUUAUGAACAGGGGACAGAGAAAUUCUAGGCAGAAAAGGGUGGGUCCCUGGUGAAGCCUCACCCUCAAGCUGAAAAGCCUGAGACUGUGGCCCAAAGUGACAACGUAUAUCCCUUUUUUUCCACUUGAAUGUUGCCUUUUCCUAAACCACCCACGGUCUGCCCUGCUCCCCUGUCCUGUGCUUAUACAGACCCCAGAUUCAACUGGUAGAGGGGAGAAGCUGCUGGAUGUUGGCGACUGUGGUUGGACAUCGGAGAGAAGUGGCUUGACAUAAGAGGGAUAGCUUGAUGGCCUAGCUUCGGAGAGGAAUCUGGCCAGAGACAGCUGGACUUAAGGGGAAGAUGACCUUCCCAUCCCAUCCCCUUUUCAGCUCCCCUUCCUGCUGAGAGCCAUUUUCGUAGGCAAUAAAUCCCCUGCAUUUACCAUCCUUCAAUUCGUUCAUGCAACCUCAUUUUUCCUGGAUGCCAGACAAGAGCUUGGGAGCCAUGAGUGUGGAUGCAAAAGGCCCUUUGCCCUCACUGGCAGGAGGCAACCGUCUUACGUGAAAAGGCAGAGGGCCCACUGAGCUGUUAACACUUAAGCAGUCCACAGACAGCAGAGCUAAAAGCACUGUAACACUCACUCUGGGGCUUCAGGGUUUGCAGGCACCCCACUAGAUGCUGCCACAGGGCCUGCAUGGAGUUUGCUUCCGCCAGCACCCAAAAGCACUCGCCCUGGCUCCUGCACCUGCUCACCUGCACGUUCCCUCUGCUAGGGGUGGAGCACAGCGGGUCUGAGUGAGUGGAGUUCACUCCUGCCAGCGCCAAAGCCGCUGGCUGGUUCCAGCACUCAUGCACUCCUUUUCCCGCUUCAUUCACUUGCAUACUCCCUCCCACAAGGAGUUGAGAACUGCAGGCACCCCUGCUGUGAGUCCUGUGAAGGGGUCAAGGAAAUAUCCAGCUUCAAUAGGUGAUACUUAUUGAGCUCUUAGUCUGUGUGAGGUAUUGUUCUACAUGUAGAUUAUUUCGUAUUAUCUUUAUUAUUUUUGUAGGGCAGGUCCAAUUGUCUACAUUUUACACAGCCCCACAGAAAUACUUGCCCAAGACCAUAUAACAUGUUUGUGAGAGAGCCACGAUUUGAACCAGGUCUUCUGGCUCUGGCUUUGGGGUAAAUUAGGGAGUUCUGAGGAGUGUGAUUGUGAUUUUUAACUCAGUCACUUUGUAGAUCGUUCAAUACAGUGGGGUGCCACUUGAACCUUGGUAUAGCUUUCACUUUAUCUCCAUGAGUAAGAGCUGAUGCUAGCUCAAUUGUUAUGAGACCAACUCAUGCUUGAAAAAAAAUGGUCACAGGGAUGAAUGGGGCUGGAAACAUACUGAUCCCAGAGAUUUUGCAUAGUAUAUAGAGAAUCACUAAAUCAGUGAAGCAAUAAGUGGAAGGAAAUAUCUUGGUAAUAGAUUGAGAACCUUUAGAAAAUUGAUGCCUUAAGUAUUUCAAAGAAAAUAACAAAGGUCCCUUCUCUACUUGUGAAAGAAACAUUAAAGUCAGGUUUGUGACAGUUUCAACUAUGAGGUUGUGGAGGGGGUGGAGGUUGGGAUAAAUAAGACCCUCACAGUCUCAAAGAGAUUGGACCCAAGGAGUGGGUAGAAGCUAACAGAAUUUUCAAUGACCCAUCUCAGGUGAUGAAGAUUGGAAUUGGUGUGAAAGGGCCAGGCUGUACAACAGUAGCAGAAGUGAACUGCAGGGUGUGUUUGAUAAUUUAGAUAAAACACACAAUUCAUCCAACAAGUUAGGGAUGGUGUAUGGGAUGAAGGGAUGCUGUGUUGAAACCUUGAUUUGGGUUUCCUACAAGGGCACAGAUGAAAAUGUUUACCCCACAACCCUAAGGGCAUCAUCUAUAAUCUGCCCACUGUAUAAGGUGAGCCUAGUACUGACAUGGUCAUAACACCAUUCUGGAAUGGAAUGGGACCAGUGAAAGAUGAGUCACUUCCUUCCUCCUCUCUUGGUUUUCAUCUGGCCAUGAAAAGGACUGAAUAACAGGCAUCAAGUAAUUUCCAGAAUUCUGUAGUAGGUCAAAUUAUUUUAAUAGCCUGCUUUAGGGGAGAUCCAGUUUUUAACCGCUCACUAUACUUUAGCAUCAUUGAUUACAUUAGUGUUGGAAAUUCAGUCUCAAUAGCAUGGCAUUUGAUGAAAUAAUAUUUUACCAGUGUCCUUACUGGAAAUCAGAAUGCUGAAAAAAAAGAGCCUAUAUCUCACAGAACUCUAGUAUUAGUUAUGUUUUGGAAAAAAAGUAUAUAUUCAGAAAAGAAAUCAUCAGAAAAUUAUAAAAUUCCCAUCUUGAUUGACAAAAGUUUUAUGUAGUAUACACUUUAUCUGAGGAGCUCUUGCUUAGAGCAAAACUGGAACUCUUUGAGAAGCAUUUAAAAGACAACUCGAUUUGAGUCCCCUUCUGUCUCUUUUCCCAGAUUGAUACAUGUGGCCUCCUACAUUUAAAAUGAAAAGUCCUCAGACAAUCCUAAUCACAUUGUCAGUCAGAUAGUCAUCUCCUGAAAGGGGCUCCUUCACCUUUAAGGAUGCAUGUACAAUAGUGAUAUGUAAGCAGCUCAAAGACUCAAUACCCCUUUUUUCUGCAAAGCAAGGCUGGGUUAGGAAAAAAUCAAUAUGUUGGAAGUAAAGGUCAGACGAGGAAAAGUGACAUGAAACAGAACUAAGGGAACAAUAUCCUUCAUGAAGACUGUUUGAAGUUUCCUUUACCCUUGUGCUAGCUUCAGUGCAAAUAUAUUUUAUCCUAGAAUAGAAGGCUGUAUUCUUGAGGAAAAGUCAUAUUUUAAAUAUUUAUCUAUUCGGCAGCGUCCUUAUUGUAUAUUAUCCUUGUCCUAUUGACUAAUACUCAAAAAGAAUAGCACAGAGUUUAAAGUGCACAUUGCAUGUGAAUUGGAAUUGCCGGAUUUUUUUUUCUUAUACGCAAUGGGAUUCGAACACACAUAUGCAUUUGGCUACUUUUUUGAACAGUUCUCAAUUUACUUUUUCAAGUGGGCCAGAUGUACUACUAUAGCCCUUAAAAGGGUCAGGACCGUCUCCUUAUUUCCCCACUCUCUAUACUUAUUGCUUGGGUAUAGCUUUAAAGUAGCCCAUGAACCCUUUUCACUCUUGCAACACAUUUACCCACAAUUAACAAUCAAGCUGUCUUCCCUGCAUUCAGGACUCCAUUCUCCCGGGCCUCAUUUUCCCUGCCUCUCUCUUGAUCUACCAUUGUGCAGAGAGCUGUUUGUGCCAUCUCAAUCUGCCCCCCUCACCAGCCGCACAAGGACUGGGGGGGAAGAAAGCGCCCGGCAUUCAGAUGCUGAAUAGCAAAUUGCUCUUGAGUGUCCUUGCUUCCCCCAGCUCUCCCCCUUCCUCGGGAAGGACAAGGGGGGAGCUGAAAGCAACCAUACAUUUUGUUCAGUGCUCUUGAAAACAAGCGUUUCACACCUGAAGCCUUUCACAGCAGCCUAGAAGCACCCCUUCAAACCACUUAAUUGCCAAUUGCUUCAGAGCUCCUUGUAAAAGUCCAUUAUGUCAGCCAGCUCCAUGGCGGAGACAAAGUAUGCGAAAUGAAAGAGUCCUCCUUAUUCCAGGGCCAAUGCCGCAUUAAAUAUCCCCAGAUCACUGGUUUUCUUGUUGUUAACAGGGCGUGAUUGGCUCCCGUUGGAGCACUUUGAAAGCCAUGGGCCUGAUACAGGAGGAGUCUGAAUAAUCUGCGUCCAUUUUCAUGCGCGUCCGUGUGAAGAGACCACCAAACAGGCUUUGUGUGAGCAACAUGGCUGUUUAUUUCACCUGCGUGCAGGCGGGCUGAGUCCGAAAAGAGUCAGGGAAGGGAGAUAAGGGUGGGGCCGUUUUAUAGGAUUUGGGUAGGUAAAGGAAAAUGACAGUCAAAGGGGGUUUGUUCUCUGGUGGGUAGGAGUGGGGGUCUCAAGGUGCUCAGUGGGCAGGAGUGGGGGCGGCAAGGUGCUCAGUGGGGGUGCUUUUUGAGCCAGGAUGAGCCAGGAAAAGGACUUUCACAAGGUAAUGUCAUCAGUUAAGGCAAGGACCGGCCAUUUACACUUCUUUUGGGGUGGAAUGUCAUCAGUUAAGGUGGGGCAGGGCAUAUUCACUUCUUUUGUGAUUCUUUAGUUACUUCAGGCCAUCUGGGCGUAUACAUGCAGGUAACGGGAUGUGAUGGCUUGGCUUGGGCUCAGAGGCCUGACAUUCCUGCCUUCUUAAUAAGAAAAAUAAAACAAAAUAGUGUUGAAGUGUUGGGGUGGCGAAAAUUUUUGGGGGGUGGUAUGGAGAGAGAAUGGGCGAUGUUUCUCAGGGCUGCUUCAAGCGGGAUUAGGGGCGGUGUGGGAACCUAGAGUGGGAGAGAUUAAGCUGAAGGGAGAUCUUGUGGUAAGGGGUGAUACUGUGGGGUUGUUAGAAGAAACAUUUGUUGUAUAGAAUGAUUGGUGAUGGCCUGGAUACGGUUUUGUAUGAACUGAAAAACUAAAUGGAAUAAGAAGGAGAAAAACUGGUAUAAAAGGUCUAAGAAUUGGGAGGACCUAAGACAUCUGAUUAGAGAGUGCCUAAGGAGAUUCAGCAUAGUCCUGCCAGCAAAGAUUAUUUAUUUACUUCAAGAGUUCAGAGUGGCGGUUUGGGGAUAGCACGAGGAGAUAUCAGCUGUGAUGGCUUGGAUAAACAGUGUAAACCGGCAGUGUAAACAAGAGCAGGGCAUGUAUGAGUAGUUGAGAACGGAGAAGAGGAGUAUGACUAGACAGAAGAUAGUAGGGAUGACAAGUAUUUUUUGGGGCACAGUCUAAGUUGGUCUGGUGUCUGGAAUGAGACUAGGGCCUAAUAAAAAGGAGCAUCUAUACAGGAGCUUAAAUGGGCUGUACUUUGUAGCUUUCCGAGGACAGGCCUGAAAGCUUGGUGAGAUGUGUUUUUAAAAGACCUUCAGUCCAUUCUACCUUUCUUGAAAAUGGAGGACUGUAAGGGAUAUAAAGGUUUCACUGAAUACUAAGAGCCUGAAAAACUGCUUGGCUGAUUUGACUAAUAAAGGCUCAUCUGUUAUCAGACUGUAUUGAGGUGGGAAGGCUAAACUGAGGAAUUAUGUCUGACAGAACAGAAGAAAUGACUGUGGUGGCCUUCUCAGACCCUGUAGGAAAGGCCUCUACCUAUCCAGUGAAAGUGUCUACCUAGACUAAGAGGUAUUUUAGUUUUCUGACUCAGGGCAUGUUGAGUAAAGCUAAUUUGCCAGUCCUGGGUGGGGCAAAUCCUGGAGCUUGAUGUGUAGGGAAGGGAGGGGGCCUGAAUAAUCCCUGAGGAGUGGUAGAAUAGCAGAUGGAACACUGAGAAGUUAUUUCCUUGAGGAUAGAUUUCCACGAUGGAAAGGAAAUGGGAGGUUCUGAGAGGUGGGCUAGUGGCUUGUACUAUAGCAUAGCCUGCCUUUGCUGGUGUGUGGCGAUUAGGCCUGGUGGAACUGCCAUCAAUAAAUCAAGUGUGAUCAGGGUGAGGAACAGGAAAGAAGGAAAUGUGGGGAAAUGGGGUGAAUAUCAGGUGGAUCAGAGAGAUACAGUCAUGGGGGUCAGGUGUGGUAUCAGGAAUAAUGUGGGAGGCCGGAUUGAAGUCUGGGCCAGGAACAACGGUAAUUGUGGGAGACUCAACAAAGAGUGAGUACAGCUGAAGGAGCCGGGGAGCAGAAAGUAUAUGCGUUAGGUAUGAGGAAGAAAAUAGAUUUUGGAAGUUAUGAGAACUGUAGAGAGUGAGUUGAGCAUAGUUUGUGAUUUUGAGGGCCUCUAAAAGUAUUAAAUCAGCGGCAGCUGCUGCAUGCAGACGUGAGGGCUAGGCUAAAACAGUAAGGUCAAGUUGUUUGGACAGAAAGGCUACAGGGUGUGGUCCUGGCUCUUGUGUAAGAAUUCUGAACACGCUAACCAUGCCUAGGAAGGAAAGGAGUUGUUGUUUUGUAGAAAAUGCUUGGGUUUGAGAGAUCAGUCGGACACGAUUGGCAGGGAGAGCACAUGUGUUUUUAUGAGAAUUAUGCCGAGAUAGGUAACAGUUGAGGAAGAAAUUUGGGCUUGACUGAUGUAAUGGGGGCUGUCUGUGAAGCUUUGCGGCAGUACAGCCUACUGUGAGAGUUACCCGAAGCUCGGCGUCCGUGAUGGUCUAGGGGGCUUCCGAGGCGAUCGGGCAGCGUCAGUCUUCAGCAGCUAAGCCGAGAAGAUCUGGGAAGGAGUCAGUCAGAGAGCCUUGGGCCAGAGUUCCAGGGGCUCUGGGAGUGGCUGCCAGGUAAUAUACUUUGCUCUCUGUGAAGCCCUUUGACUUGAAGAAAUAGUGAUCUAAGAUAAUGUCCUGCCAUCCAGAAGAAUUGUAGGCACGGGAGAGAUUGAAAUUGGCUUGGCUGUUGCUAUUUGGUGUUGCUUGACCCUUCUGGUCUCGCAAUGACUCCCGGGGGUGAAGGAGAGCUUCCUAAAGUUCUGAAGGAGAAAAUUUAAUCAGCAAAGUAAUCAUUUCUGCUGUGAUGGAAAAAAGGAGGCCGGUAUGAAUGACAAAACAGCUGUGGACCACCAAAAAAGUCAACUGGAAUUGGAAGGAGGGAGACCUAAAAAAAAAAAUUGCUUCGAAGGCAUAGCAUUAAAGGGAAAAUGAAUCAGAAAAGAGAUCUGAAGUGCUAGAAUGCACUGCUUAAUAACUUUAAAUAGUCCAUUGAGUCUUCCGGAAUUUUUUUUGUUCUUCUUCAAGAAUAAUCUGCUUACAUCGUUAAGACCUCAGCUAAGCUCAGUAACACAAAUUACCAGAUGUUGUAUCCCCUAGUUUUUCCAUCAAAAGACCAACCACCAAGCUUGUUGAAAGAGAAAGGUCAUUGUCCCUCCCUGGCUAUAAAACUAUUUUUGCAACUCCUAACAAAUGAAAUGAGAAUACCUUUCAGCUGUAGAAGGAACCUAUCUCCCGCUCCUUCGAAGUCCCCCUGUUUGGCUUUGUUAUUUUCUAAUAACGCACUCAUGUGUAAGCUAAUAACGUGAACAGAGGGAAAAUGAAGAGACUUAAAAAAAAAAAAAAAAAGGAAAAAAGCAGAAUGAAUUAGGGCAAUUGAGGUCGCUCUGUUUCAUUUUUGCUGGAAGGAUUUUAGCCCUAGUUUUUACCUUAUCGCUUAUUACACAAUUUACGAUAAAAUGAGAUGUGAUUCCAUUCUUAUUGUUGUGCUAUAGUCUAUUGAACAUGCAUAUAUAGAAUUCAUUUCAGAUUUAAACACUAUCUUAAUUAUAAACUGAAUAAAAUGGACAACCUAUCAGGUUUUCUAAAUUGCAUUCUAACAAAUAGUUUCAUUUUUUAUCACAUUUCUACUGUUGACAUAUUGGGUAUAAUAAUGUUCAGGGAAUAUUCCCUUUUAAUGCAGUGUCUUAAUUGUGCCAAAGUAUUUCCCAUGUGACAACUAAUAGUUUAUUUCUGACUUACAAGUUUGAGAACUUUAACCGUAUGUCAUGCCUUGCAAUAUUUUUCAUGAUGAUCUGCUUAAAUAACACUAUCAGGAAUUUUUUUUUGUUUUAAAAUCACCUACAAAUGAUAUAUAUUUUGCAUAUUGAAAAGACAUCAUAAGUAUAUUACAUGUAACUUUCUAUUUUCUUUAAUAAAUAAUGUGAUUGCUUGUAUUUAGGAUUCAUUUACAGACACUUUUCCAACAAAAGACUUACGUACAUUAAGUUGAAAAUAUUGAAAGAAAUAUCUCAAUUGUGAUUAAAAAUGAAAUACCCAGUUAAUGGAAUAUAGAAUGCAAUUUUUAAAGAAAAACAUAUGUGCCAGAACCUGAAAAGUUAAGUCUUAUUUUUAUAUUUACUCACUACAAACUGUGAACGUUGCUUUAAAUGAAAAAUACGUACCUGAUUAAACAUAUAGUUUUAAAGUAGUCCUAAAUAUAGUAUAUUUAAAGUAAUCCUUCAAAGUAAUUCUGAGUUAAUAGCAUGGGUCCUAAUCCUCAGAAUGUAAUGCUAUGUAUUCUUUAAAAACGCUGAUUUGUAUUCAUAUGAUAUUUUAAAAUGUAAAAGAAUAAUCAUGCUGAGAAAAAUCUGACAUUGGAAACUGAAGACAACAUAUAAUUUUGUAAUUAAAGGUAAAUUUUUCAUAUGUGCAGCAUUUGUUGAAGAAUUUCUAACUUAAAAAUCACUUAAAUUUAAUUUUACAUGUCAAAUACAUAACUAUUUCACUGACACAGGGGAAAGAAUUUAAUUAGCACUUUAAUGUUAAUUGUUUAUUAAUGUGUUAAGCUUAUCAAACUGCCUCAUUUAACUUAAUAGAUAUUGCUAUACUUUCGUAUAUUAUUCUAAUAAAGUAUACAAUUUGGAUUUUUUUCCCUUCUUUUUCAAGUUCCCAUGCAACACCUACACGUAAACCUGGCCAACUGGUCUGUUAGAACAGAGCGGGGUGUUUCCUGAAGUUUGAACCUAAACUAUUAAAUAAAACAGUUAUCCUGCAAGACCCAAGAGCUAUUACUGCCUACUAAUGUCGUCUUGCAGAUACUUUUUUUGAACAGUACACAAGAAAGUUGAUUCAUUUCUCUCUCUCUUUGACUAUAAGUAGGGG